rnacentral:rRNA from 1 species
AUGAGUGAUAUCCAGAGAUCAAUGGUGUUGAGCAUGUGGCGAGCCGCUGUUCUGCUAUGCUUCAUUCUUCAAGGUGCCACUGUUGCGGCUGAUAACGAGACAUGGGGCUACGUUGAAAUUCGUCACAAGGCGCACCUAUUUUGGUGGUACUACAAGAGCCCACAUCGGGUGUCUUCGCCAGUAAAGCCAUGGCCAACCAUCCUCUGGUUGGAGGGCGGUCCGGGAGGGUCAGGCGUCGGGGGUGGCAACUUCCAGGGGAUCGGGCCACUGGAUGUCAAUCUGAAGCCACGCAACUCGACGUGGCUGCAGAAGGCUGAUCUCAUCUUCGUGGACUUACCAGUGGGUGUCGGGUAUAGCUACGUGGAGGACCCAACCGUGCUAGCUACGACGGACGUGCAAGUCGCUGCUGAUGCCAUCGAGCUCCUCAAGGCACUUACCAAGGAGAUACCCACCUUGUGCAGCAGCCCGCUGUUCCUUGUCGGGGGUGUGGUGCUUGGGGAUAGCUGGAUCUCACCAGAUGAUUUUGCGCUGUCAUAUGCGCAACUGUUGCGUGAUGUGUCGAGGCUGAGCGAUGAAGCUGUUGCCCCUCUCAACAGAAUGGCGGCAAUAGUAAAAGAGCAGAUAGCAGCUGGGCAAUUCACCACGGCAAAGAUGACGUGGACGAAUCUUGUUGAUUUGAUUGACCAGCAGAGUGAUGGCGUGGAUAUGCUAAAUUUCUUGCUUGACAAAGGCGAAGGCUCAUCGACGAGCCAGGUGUUUCCGUCGACCCCCAACACCAUUGACGGUCUCAUGAAUGGGGUCAUUAAAGAAAAGUUGAAGGUUAUUCCUAAGAACAUAAUUUGGCAAGGAGUGGCUAUUCAAGUUUUCGAAGCAAUGAAUGCUACCUACAUGAAGCCAGCAAUCAAUGAGGUUGAUCAAUUGCUAGCAUAUGGAGUAAAUGUGUCGGUUUACAAUGGGCAAUUCGAUGUGAUAUGCUCGACAAUCGGUGUAGAAGCUUGGGUCAAAAAACUCAAAUGGGCUGGUCUGAAGAGUUUCUUGAGCACGCCAAGGCAGGCUUUGCGAUACUGUGAUUCUCCAGCGCGCUGCCUCAACCCCGUGAAGGCAUACGCUAGAUCAUACCAGAACCUGAACUUCUACUGGAUCCUCGGAGCUGGACACAAGGUGCCUGUCGACAAGCCCGACGUUCAGUCACCUGACAGCUAG